UUGAACGCUGGCGGCAUGCCUUACACAUGCAAGUCGAACGGCAGCACGGGUGCUUGCACCUGGUGGCGAGUGGCGAACGGGUGAGUAAUACAUCGGAACAUGUCCUGUAGUGGGGGAUAGCCCGGCGAAAGCCGGAUUAAUACCGCAUACGAUCUACGGAUGAAAGCGGGGGACCUUCGGGCCUCGCGCUAUAGGGUUGGCCGAUGGCUGAUUAGCUAGUUGGUGGGGUAAAGGCCUACCAAGGCGACGAUCAGUAGCUGGUCUGAGAGGACGACCAGCCACACUGGGACUGAGACACGGCCCAGACUCCUACGGGAGGCAGCAGUGGGGAAUUUUGGACAAUGGGCGAAAGCCUGAUCCAGCAAUGCCGCGUGUGUGAAGAAGGCCUUCGGGUUGUAAAGCACUUUUGUCCGGAAGGAAAUCCUUGGCUCUAAUACAGUCGGGGGAUGACGGUACCGGAAGAAUAAGCACCGGCUAACUACGUGCCAGCAGCCGCGGUAAUACGUAGGGUGCGAGCGUUAAUCGGAAUUACUGGGCGUAAAGCGUGCGCAGGCGGUUUGCUAAGACCGAUGUGAAAUCCCCGGGCUCAACCUGGGAACUGCAUUGGUGACUGGCAGGCUAGAGUAUGGCAGAGGGGGGUAGAAUUCCACGUGUAGCAGUGAAAUGCGUAGAGAUGUGGAGGAAUACCGAUGGCGAAGGCAGCCCCCUGGGCCAAUACUGACGCUCAUGCACGAAAGCGUGGGGGAGCAAACAGGAUUAGAUACCCUGGGUAGUCCACGCCCUAAACGAUGUCAACUAGUUGUUGGGGAUUCAUUUCCUUAGUAACGUAGCUAACGCGUGAAGUUGACCGCCUGGGGAGUACGGUCGCAAGAUUAAAACUCAAAGGAAUUGACGGGGACCCGCACAAGCGGUGGAUGAUGUGGAUUAAUUCGAUGCAACGCGAAAAACCUUACCUACCCUUGACAUGGUCGGAAUCCCGCUGAGAGGUGGGAGUGCUCGAAAGAGAACCGGCGCACAGGUGCUGCAUGGCUGUCGUCAGCUCGUGUCGUGAGAUGUUGGGUUAAGUCCCGCAACGAGCGCAACCCUUGUCCUUAGUUGCUACGCAAGAGCACUCUAAGGAGACUGCCGGUGACAAACCGGAGGAAGGUGGGGAUGACGUCAAGUCCUCAUGGCCCUUAUGGGUAGGGCUUCACACGUCAUACAAUGGUCGGAACAGAGGGUUGCCAACCCGCGAGGGGGAGCUAAUCCCAGAAAACCGAUCGUAGUCCGGAUUGCACUCUGCAACUCGAGUGCAUGAAGCUGGAAUCGCUAGUAAUCGCGGAUCAGCAUGCCGCGGUGAAUACGUUCCCGGGUCUUGUACACACCGC
rnacentral:rRNA from 1 species